GGGGGGGGCGGUACUGCCGGAAAUAGGGCCGGGCCUCCUCGCGCUUGUUCGUUGCGCGUGGACCGGCUCGUGAAGACGGAAGUUCGGAACCCUUGAGUUCAGGAUCCUAGCUCACAGAAUGGUGUUGCCAGCACUCAUGGUGGCUCCUCCUGUCUCACAUAAACUCCUCUGGAAAUGACCUCUUAUCCACUCCCACCCAGCUGGGACUCAUCGAAGCAUUUCCUCAAGGGAGACUCCUUUCUCUGUGAUAACUCCAGUUUGUGUCAAGUUGACACACAAAACCAGCCAUUCACCCACCAAUAUCCUGAGCACCACGGAAUAAGUCAUUGGUCAGCCGUGUGAGCGGUGCUGAACAAAUGCCCUUGUUUAGUUGUCUGCCCCGGGGUACAAUCAUUCUCUACUCUCAAAAUGGAGCUGCUUAUGAAACCGUCUUCCAGGACAAUAUGUAGGAGUCCCCGCAGAUGUUUUGGCUGACAGGGGAAAGCUCCACGAACGGGAAGCAGCCAGCAGCUGCCAGUAGUAACCAACAGCAGCUACCAUCGGCAGGAAAUCUCUGUGUUGAAUGGGAACAGAAAGGCUGGGAGCCUUAAAACACCUCAGAGCAUGAGCCCAGAAUUGUCUCCGAGAAGAUGCCUUCCUGGUGAAACAACACAACCCACAGUAGUGAUGGCUCAUGGCUUGCCUUAGAUGACUUUGUUUGAGUCACUGAAGAUGGGGAAAGCACUUAGGCUUAGCCUGAGCAAACAUGCCCACUACUGAUAAGACAAAAGGACUCCAAUAUAAGCUGAGGAUUUCAGCUCCCUUCUUCCUCCACAACAACAGCCCACAUUUAAUGAAAAGAUUGCAAACCUUGGCACAUUUCACCUUGGCACAAUGAAUGUUCCUCGGCUGAACCCUUUGGGCUUGACCUCCCUAUCUGCCGAUUCUGCCCUUGGUGUUCCCAUGUGAGUCAAGUGGCCUGUCUCAGCCUUACUUUCUUGGAGUGUGCACCAAGGGACUCUGAGAAGUGCUUCCUAAGACAGCGCAUUCCAGCUCGCCCUUCAUCUCUCUGGUGGCGAGGCUCUGGAUUGGUUAAAAAGAAAUGGACCCACCUGGAAGGACACAGUCUAGGCAGUCAGACCUGCCCAAGGAAAGAGACAAAUAAGGAUGUAGCCUAAGUUACCUUCUUGCUGGCUCAGUGGGCAGAGACCUGAGGGCUCAAAAGAAGAGGGGUCAGGGCUGAGCAAGAGAGAGUCCCCUGAGCUAAACCCUUCAUCCCUGUCCCCUUCUCCAGCCCUUCUCCAGUCCUGUGAGCUCAUGUUCUAGCCAUUCCCAGAUGGAGUCCAGAAACCCAUUCUUUACCCGGAGUCUAAACUGAAUUGGAUUAAAGUGGAUUUUAUGUUUGGUA
rnacentral:sRNA from 1 species